GCCUUGGUAUAUAUGAAUAAAAAGAGAUGUCGGCAAAGUGUCAAUGAGCCAGCAACUCAACGACGAAACUAACCAAAGAUAAAAUGAAACUGUUUAUACUGACAUUAGGACUUGUAACUAUUUGUUUGUUUGAGUGUAGACACAUUUCAAAUCAAAACAGGAAUGAGAAGAGCCUAGAUUUUGAUGACUGGGAAGAUCAUUUUGAAGGUUUAGGCGAUGACAUUGAAGACGGCUUUAAAAGUUCUGUAGAUAAAAUUGACUCAUGACUUUCAAAAGCUGGGGAUGCUAUAGAGGACGCUUUUGACAACUUGUUUGGAUAAUAAGUGAACAUCUGGAAUAUGGUGGAAUAUUGGUUUCAAAGAACAGAAAGAUAUUUUCAAAUAAAUUUUUAAAUUA